AUUGAACGCUGGCGGCAUGCCUUACACAUGCAAGUCGAACGGCAGCACGGGUGCUUGCACCUGGUGGCGAGUGGCGAACGGGUGAGUAAUACAUCGGAACGUACCUUAUCGUGGGGGAUAACGCAGCGAAAGCUGUGCUAAUACCGCAUACGCCCUGAGGGGGAAAGCGGGGGAUCGAAAGACCUCGCGCGAUUAGAGCGGCCGAUGCCUGAUUAGCUUGUUGGUGGGGUAAAAGCCCACCAAGGCGACGAUCAGUAGCUGGUCUGAGAGGACGAUCAGCCACAGUGGGACUGAGACACGGCCCAGACUCCUACGGGAGGCAGCAGUGGGGAAUUUUGGACAAUGGGGGCAACCCCGAUCCAGCAAUGCCGCGUGAGUGAAGAAGGCCUUCGGGUUGUAAAGCUCUUUUGUCAGGGAAGAAACACCGGCUCUAACACAGUCCGGGAAUGACGGUACCUGAAGAAUAAGCACCGCCUAACUACGUGCCAGCCGCCGCGGUAA
rnacentral:rRNA from 1 species